rnacentral:rRNA from 1 species
CGCAAGAUUAAAACUCAAAUGAAUUGACGGGGGCCCGCACAAGCGGUGGAGCAUGUGGUUUAAUUCGAUGCAACGCGAAGAACCUUACCUACUCUUGACAUCCAGAGAAGCCAGCAGAGAUGCAGGUGUGCCUUCGGGAACUCUGAGACAGGUGCUGCAUGGCUGUCGUCAGCUCGUGUUGUGAAAUGUUGGGUUAAGUCCCGCAACGAGCGCAACCCUUAUCCUUGUUUGCCAGCGAGUAAUGUCGGGAACUCCAGGGAGACUGCCGGUGAUAAACCGGAGGAAGGUGGGGACGACGUCAAGUCAUCAUGGCCCUUACGAGUAGGGCUACACACGUGCUACAAUGGCGCAUACAGAGGGCAGCCAACUUGCGAAAGUGAGCGAAUCCCAAAAAGUGCGUCGUAGUCCGGAUUGGAGUCUGCAACUCGACUCCAUGAAGUCGGAAUCGCUAGUAAUCGUGGAUCAGAAUGCCACGGUGAAUACGUUCCCGGGCCUUGUACACACCGCCCGUCACACCAUGGGAGUGGGCUGCAAAAGAAGUAGGUAGUUUAACC